UACGGGGGGGGUAAGCGUUGUUCGGAAUUACUGGGCGUAAAGGGCUCGUAGGCGGCCAACUAAGUCAGACGUGAAAUCCCUCAGCUUAACUGGGGAACUGCGUCUGAUACUGGAUGGCUUGGAUUCGGGAGAGGAAUGCGGAAUUCCAGGUGUAGCGGUGAAAUGCGUAGAUAUCGUAAGGAAGGCCAGUGGCGAAGGCGACCACCUGGCCAAUUACUGACGCUGAGGAACGAAAGCGUGGGGAGCAAACAGG
rnacentral:rRNA from 1 species